CAUCUGGUCGUUUAUUCGACCAGCAUAAUUACAACAAUAUAGAAAUUCCUCUUUGACGGGCCGAUAGCGAUAUUGGCCGUUUUUUU
rnacentral:sRNA from 1 species